AUUGAACGCUGGCGGCAUGCCUUACACAUGCAAGUCGAACGGCAGCAUGAUCUAUCUUGCUAGAUUGAUGGCGAGUGGCGAACGGGUGAGUAAUACAUCGGAACGUGCCCUGGAGAGGGGGAUAACUAGUCGAAAGAUUAGCUAAUACCGCAUACGACCUGAGGGUGAAAGUGGGGGACCGCAAGGCCUCAUGCUAUAGGAGCGGCCGAUGUCUGAUUAGCUAGUUGGUGAGGUAAAGGCUCACCAAGGCGACGAUCAGUAGCUGGUCUGAGAGGACGAUCAGCCACACUGGGACUGAGACACGGCCCAGACUCCUACGGGAGGCAGCAGUGGGGAAUUUUGGACAAUGGGCGAAAGCCUGAUCCAGCAAUGCCGCGUGUGUGAAGAAGGCCUUCGGGUUGUAAAGCACUUUUGUCCGGAAAGAAAUGGAUCUGGUUAAUACCUGGGGUCGAUGACGGUACCGGAAGAAUAAGGACCGGCUAACUACGUG
rnacentral:rRNA from 1 species